rnacentral:rRNA from 1 species
AAGAGCUCGUAGGUGGUUUGUCGCGUUGUUCGUGAAAUCUCACGGCUUAACUGUGAGCGUGCGGGCGAUACGGGCAGACUUGAGUACUGCAGGGGAGACUGGAAUUCCUGGUGUAGCGGUGGAAUGCGCAGAUAUCAGGAGGAACACCGGUGGCGAAGGCGGGUCUCUGGGCAGUAACUGACGCUGAGGAGCGAAAGCGUGGGGAGCGAACAGGAUUAGAUACCCUGGUAGUCCACGCCGUAAACGGUGGGUACUAGGUGUGGGUUUCCUUCCUUGGGAUCCGUGCCGUAGCUAACGCAUUAAGUACCCCGCCUGGGGAGUACGGCCGCAAGGCUAAAACUCAAAGAAAUUGACGGGGGCCCGCACAAGCGGCGGAGCAUGUGGAUUAAUUCGAUGCAACGCGAAGAACCUUACCUGGGUUUGACAUGCACAGGACGCCGGCAGAGAUGUCGGUUCCCUUGUGGCCUGUGUGCAGGUGGUGCAUGGCUGUCGUCAGCUCGUGUCGUGAGAUGUUGGGUUAAGUCCCGCAACGAGCGCAACCCUUGUCUCAUGUUGCCAGCGGGUAAUGCCGGGGACUCGUGAGAGACUGCCGGGGUCAACUCGGAGGAAGGUGGGGAUGACGUCAAGUCAUCAUGCCCCUUAUGUCCAGGGCUUCACACAUGCUACAAUGGCCGGUACAAAGGGCUGCGAUGCCGCGAGGUUAAGCGAAUCCUUUUAAAGCCGGUCUCAGUUCGGAUCGGGGUCUGCAACUCGACCCCGUGAAGUCGGAGUCGCUA